rnacentral:rRNA from 1 species
ACAGGAUUAGAUACCCUGGUAGUCCACGCCGUAAACGAUGUCAACUUGGAGGCUGUUCCCUUGAGGAGUGGCUUCCGGAGCUAACGCGUUAAGUCGACCGCCUGGGGAGUACGGCCGCAAGGUUAAAACUCAAAUGAAUUGACGGGGGCCCGCACAAGCGGUGGAGCAUGUGGUUUAAUUCGAUGCAACGCGAAGAACCUUACCUACUCUUGACAUCCAGAGAACUUUCCAGAGAUGGAUUGGUGCCUUCGGGAACUCUGAGACAGGUGCUGCAUGGCUGUCGUCAGCUCGUGUUGUGAAAUGUUGGGUUAAGUCCCGCAACGAGCGCAACCCUUAUCCUUUGUUGCCAGCGAUUCGGUCGGGAACUCAAAGGAGACUGCCGGUGAUAAACCGGAGGAAGGUGGGGAUGACGUCAAGUCAUCAUGGCCCUUACGGCCAGGGCUACACACGUGCUACAAUGGCGCAUACAAAGAGAAGCGACCUCGCGAGAGCAAGCGGACCUCAUAAAGUGCGUCGUAGUCCGGAUCGGAGUCUGCAACUCGACUCCGUGAAGUCGGAAUCGCUAGUAAUCGUGGAUCAGAACGCCACGGUGAAUACGUUCCCGGGCCUUGUACACACCGCCCGUCACACCAUGGGAGUGGGUUGCAAAAGAAGUAGGUAGCUUAACCUUCGGGAGGGCGCUUACCACUUUGUGAUUCAUGACUGGGGUGAAGUCGUAACAAGGUA